CCCUGCGCAUGCGCCACGGUCAAUGUUGGACGGAAUGACGGUAGGAUGUUAUGAAGGAGUUACCUUCUAAGAUGAGAUGGCUCACAUUGGAAGAGUGAGGAAGAGAAAACGAGUCACUCCACAACAAGAUGCAGAGCAACACAUUCACUCGAAAAUUGAUAAGGCUGGACUCGAAGAGCGUUUUAUCAAUCUGCACAAAGGUCGGGGUGUUUUUGCUACUGAGGCUUUCAGAAAAGAAGAUUUUGUGCUUGAAUACCGUGGCAACCUUCUCAAACAGGACCACCCCCUUCAUUUGAGGCACUAUGAUGACACUGAAGCAGUGUUCCUGUUUGAUUUUAAGUGGAAAGGGAAAAGUUAUUGCAGAAAUCAUCACCUGAAGUCAGCGAGCAGACUGUGGAUGAGAGUGAUCAUCAGAUCAUUGUUCAUUUUAUAUUUCUCUUUUGGAAGAAAUAGACUCAGCUUGUUACUUAGCUAACGGACAAAAUCUCUGGUUAAAGUGUACCCUGGUAAAGCGUACUUGUUGAUGUACACUGUUAGUUGGAAGUAUACUUAUCUCAACAUUUUUCUGUAUACAAAAUAGUGUCACUUUGAUGCUGGCCCCUCCUGUUCCCUAAAUGGCAAAUUAUGGUGCCAUUUGUAUGUUUCUAGCCACAGAUAUUGGUUUCUCUGAGCUCUGCAGUCAAUUAUUUUUACUGACAGCACUGACCAGCUAGCCAAAUUCUUGACCCCUGUGCAAAGUCUGUAAUUUUAGAGGAGUUUUUAUUUCCUCUGUUGUACAUGAUGUCCACACAUUGUGUUAGUAAAACACAUUUUGACAGCA